rnacentral:lncRNA from 1 species
GAAGGGUUGGGCUGUGCUCACACCCACCACAUGUUCUGUCCUUCCUGGGGGACACAGUGCUGCGUUCCUGGGGCCACACCGGGAGGACCUGCCAGGCAGCAGGGAGACUCGAGCCUGCAUUCCUGCCCUGCAGGUGACACUCUCAUAUGCUCCAGGGAGCAGGAACCCUGUCCACGAUUCCCUAGCCUGGCCUCCUCACCCCAUGAAGCAGGGAAUCUCCUUGGGGCUCUCACACCUCCUGGAAACACAGUUCAUCACAUGAGUUUCCCCAGGUGUCUGGGGAAAACCGAUUUUUCAUUCUGGCUGACACGUAGUAUCCUAAGUGCCUCCAAAGCAAAACUCACUCCUGUCCACAGGGCACUACUAAACUGGAACAGCCGCUAUAUUUAACAGAAAGCCCACAUCCCGUUGCCAUGACAACCUGCGUUCUAAAAUUAGAAACACCACACACCAUGGGGUAGAUGCCACUGGAGGAGCUGCUCCGCUUGCCUUGAUCGGUUCUCCGGCCAGGAGCUGGGGUUCCCUGUGCCCAGCUGUGGACGCCCACCAGGCUCACAGCCCAUGGCGGUCCUGCUGGCCUGCCCAUGAGCUUCCCUGCAGCUGCAAGUGACUUGGGGGCAGGUGGCUGUCAGUGCAGUGUCCGAGCUCCAAGAUCAUCCUGGCCCUUCUCCUGCUGUCUUGGCUCAUGUCCACCUUCAGAGGGCAGUGCCAGCCGCUUGGCCAUUUUCACAAGGAAAGGAAAGGUGUCCCCGGGGUUCCUGGCAAGUUUCCACUCUUUCUCAUUGGUCAGUGCAGGGUCACCUGGCAGCUCCUGGCUCUAACCCCAGGAGUGGGAAGAGGGCCUUCUCAGCUGGUUUCCCUCCAAAACAGCGUCCUGACCUUACUGGUGGCUCUUUCUGUAGACACUUUAUUCUCCAAACAGCAUCGGGGGGUGUGGCCUGGAUGCCUGACUUCUAGUCAUGGUGCAGAGCUUGACCUCGUUUGUGACUCUGGCUCAUUUUCUUCCUGUCUCUGGACUUGAGUUUUCCCGGGGAGAAAGCCAGGCCGUGGGGUCAGCCUGGACAGCACCUUGGUUGACCCGUUUGAGCUUGGCUCCAUUUGAAUGUCCUCAUAAGAACAGGAAAGAUGAGGCUGCAUCAUCAACCCAGGAUGGACAGAGAGGCUUCGUGGGAGUUGCUGGGUUCUCGUUUCACGCUUGUCAGACAGCCCUGGAAGCCACAACCUUUCUGGGAGUCCUUUCAGAGCGCUCAGCCACCAAUGGGGAGGGGCAGUCUGCACCUCUGCCAUUGAUGGGAACUUUGUCCAGCUGUGACCACUCCACAAUUCAACUUCACAUCUUCAAAAUUCAGACUUAACUCAAUUGCUAUGGGAUCAAACUGCAUGAGAUUUCAUCAAUGCCUGUGCCCGUCACCCGCUUCGGGGAGCAGUGAUCACCAAGCUCACCUGAGAUGGCCUCAACAUUGUUAAUUGGCUAUACCCCAGAUCAAAAGGAUUUUGGUGUUAAAACAAAAUAAAAAUUUAAAAAUUGAAGAAGCA